ACUACCCCUAUGUAAGGAAGCCUCUAUGAAGACACAAAAGGACUGAAUUCUGAAAGAUUCCAGGUUCUGGUUUUCGGGAAAGCAGUGUGCUCACAGCGGGGCUUCUGCGCUCUCAGCACACCUUGCCCUGGGCAGUUCUUCCCCAGGCUGUUCCUGAGUCAUGCCCUUUUAUAAUAAACUGGUAAUCUAGUAAGUAAACUAUUUCUUUGAAGUCUGUGGGCAGCUCUAGUUAAUUAAUUGAACCCAAGAAGGGAGUCCUUGGAACCUCAGAUCUGCAGCCAAGGCCGUCAGAAGCACAGGUGACCACCUGGACUUGGAAUUGGCAUCUGAAGUGGAGGGGAGCUCUGUCUUACAGGACUUAGCCCUUAAGCCUUAACCCUGUGGGAUCUGAAGCUGUCUCCAGAGACUGGAAGCCUUGGGUCCAGGAAGCUCAGAGGAGCUGCAGAGGAGUGAAGAGUGAGAAAUCAGAUAUGCUGGCCCCACGUAGGAGAAUUAACUGCUUCUGUCACUAGAAGAAACCCAGAACUCCUCUGGGAGGCCAUAGCAACGCCUCCCAGAACUCUAGGAGACAUAAGGAAGUUGCCUUGUGUCUCUUCGCAAUUCCUCCUAACCAGCACCAUCCCCUGCAAGGUAACAACCAGCGUUCUGAUUUCAAAGGUGAGUUCAGCCAGAAGCCAAAUGACCCUAGAUCCUACAAGAGGGAGCAGAGCAGAAAAGGAUGAAGAGUGAAUCCAAGGCCCAGGACAAGCACGUAUGAAGUUGAAAGCAAGAAGAAUCCCACAGUCUGACUGGGAUGAGUUUCUCUUCCUGGCUGGAGGCAGCCACAAAGAUCCAUGGGAAGAAGCAAUGGUGCAUGAACCCAGUUGGUAUCCUCAGAAGUCCCUUGAUGAUUAAAAAGAUGGGAAAAUUGCAACUUAGAAGGAUGAAUGAACUUUCCCAGAACAUACAGGCCAUAAAUGUAACCAGAAGUAUCCUUAUGAGGGAAAGCAGAGGAGGAUUUGAGUGGAAGAUGAGAAGGCGAUGUGACAAUGGAAACAGAAAUUGGAGUGAUAUGGCCACAAACCAAAGAAUGCUAACAGCCACCAAAACGUUGAUGUAGGCAAAAAAAAAAUGGAUUUUCACCUGUAGCUUCUGGACAGAACCAGACAUGCCUACGCCUUGACAUAUUGGACUUCUGGCCUCCAGAAACGAUUACACCCAAGCUGGAGACCAAGGACUUUUAAUGUUUAAUUGCUGGGCUCAAUUAAAACAACAAAUAAAUCAAAGUAAGUAAGGCUGAAGCCCUUCCCAAUUGUACCAAAGUACAAUAAAAAUUUAUCUACAUCAAGAGGAGGAAAAUAACUUUUCACUUUCAAAAAAUAAACCAGAAGA